GGAAAGUCGUUUCUCUACUAGUGUUUUGAUUGUUUUGCUAUCAUGGAUCUCCUGUCUAUUAAGUCUUCCUGCGGUCUUGAUACUCCGAUCUUCAAAAGAAUCAAUGUAUUUAGAGUAGUCUUCACUGAAGUACGUCUCAAUUAGAAUAUCUUGGAUCUCUUCACCGGCCAGUAAUUUAGAAGUUGGCCAGCAAGAGACCAGCAGCAUAAGUGGUAUGAUAAUCAUCAACCAGUAUAGUCUCGAGAUCGGCUACAAUGAAUGGUUGAAGCUCUUUGCUUUUACUAAGUUUGAGGGGUGUUAUAUUUUUUCUAUAGCUACGCUUAAUAUAUCCCAUCUUCCUUGCUUUUUUAGGAUCACUCCAUCCUGUAACUCGCUGGGUGGGCUAGUGAAGUAGGUAGGAAAGGAAAGACGUGAUACGCAAUUGUGUGGGAUUCACUUCUGAACACUAAAAACCGUCUUUAUCUAUGUAUGCAUUGAAAUUUUCUAUAAAUCUCCUUAAUCUCUUCGAGCCUUCCUUCGGCCCUUCUCUAGCAAGGUCCAUGCCUGUCGAAGAUAUCUCAAAAUAACGCGCUUUUCUAAUCCUUGAUGUUCAUGCGAAGAAUCAUUUGAAAUCCCAUUUGCACCCGGAUUCAGCUUCUUUCGAACUAGCAAAUGCACUUUCAGAGCCAACAACGGAUCGGAGUUCGCCAAUCCAUUUGUAACCGUUUCAAAGUCUUCUGCGGCAUCUUCUGGAUCAGAAUCUCCUGCUCAACCGAGAAUGAAUUCAUUUUCAUUGUAUUAUGUGGCAGUCCCACUACUUUCAACCAUGGAAGCGAAUCGAUGAUCCUAUCCAGAGUAUCUUUAUGAAGAAUAUCCUAGCCUAGUCAUUGCUUUCUUUGUAAAUGAUCUCUCCUCUGCAUCGCUGGAAAAGUUCUCAACCGGAUUAUCGGAGGUGCUAACAACCGCACUCAACCAAGAACUUCCCCUUCCCCCAUUUCCCUGUCUUCGCUAUUUUGCUUUUCUACUGCUUGCUCCCCGAGCUCCCUAUCCGAGUAAGUCCUACCUUCCUGGUUGGCAAGUAGUAAACCCUACUUCCCUUUCAAAUCCUUGAUUUGAUCAUCUUCAUUCCAUGGUGGACGGAGGAAAACUAGUUACAAAUGUUCUUUGCUCGUACAUAGCACUUAGAAGAGUGACUUCUCCCCGAUAAGGGUUUAGAGUAUAGAGAGGAUGCCUUUCUAUAAAUAAUAGUAAUAGUAAAAGACAUAAAGCAAAGACUAGAUUAGAGUCCGCCGGCAUUUCUUUUUUCUCGACUUUUCGAAGAUUGAUUGUGACGAACUGGCGCAUUUCCUUGGGGAACUUAUCAUAGUCUUUUUAGUUUUCUUUAUCGGAAAGGAUACUUUUAUUAUUACCGUAACUUUGAUUUUACUUGAUACAAAGUUUUGAUUACGAAACUUUCCUUGUGACCAGAUCUUUUUAUGCUCUCUUGGAACCGACAACUUACUUCAUGCUAUUACUAACACUUAUGACUGAGCCGCACUUGCUUUUCAAAAGAAAUUGAAACUCUCCAUUGCUUUGAUUUAGUGCUUCCAAAUCUUAUUACAAAUCCUCGUAUCUCCAUACCGAAACACACCCAUCCUCGUCUAGUAAUAUAGCCUUUUCUUCGUUACACGCAGGCAUGCAGUCAUAGUCUUCUUUUGAUAAGAACUCAAAUUCCC
rnacentral:lncRNA from 1 species